GGCGCCGUGGCUUAGAUGGUUAAAGCUCCUGUCUAGUAAACAGGUAAUCCUGGGUUCAAAUCCCAAUGGUGCCU